GGGUAGAUUAGCAUGGCCCCUGUGCAAGGAUGACAUGCAAUUUCGUGAAGCGUUCCAUCAUUCU
rnacentral:snRNA from 1 species